GGUAGAUGGUAAACUGAUAUUCCAUCAUUUCUUAUUCUCCGGCCAAUUAUCCCAGUACUAAUUCAUAAAAUCCGGGUAAUUGCCUCCGCCACAGCCAACGGCAUGUGCGGCCGCGAUCCCAUUUAAAGCAAUCGAGAUCGUAGCCGACACGUUCGUCGUUUAGCAAACCUUUUCACGACUAUUUAGAACUCCACUCUCCGUAAAUAGCCGCUUGUCAAUUUUUCUGUAGUGAAAACCAAAUUAUCAGAUCAAUGGGGACCAACGGUAAUUCAAGUCCUAAUAAUACCGCUACUCACAAUGCCAUUGUCAAACCCGUGCUAUUACCGGAGAUUGGACCCGAUGGCAUUGCCAGAGAAUCACCUGUCAUUGCUUACACUGAAAAGAUAAUUGAAGAAGAACAACUUCAAUUGAGAAAAUAUAUUGAUGAAAAUUAUUCCAAGAUCCGUGAUGUUGAAAGGGAACUCACGAACCUGAAUAUGGAGAUGAAGCUUACUGCUGGGCCAAAAAAAGCAGCACUUGAACUCAUGAGAAAGAAAAUAGAAAUGUCAACAGAGAGAAUCCGUGUUGCUAAGCUGAGGGAAGAGCAAGCACGAAAGGCUUGGGAAGCAGCAUCACAGGCUGUUAAAGACGAGGAGGCGAAUAAACAAAAGCUUUGUGAGGAUUUGAAUAGCCUGGUUCUGGAAAGUAGUAACAGUCAGCUUGCUAGAUUGGAGGAAUUGAAAAGACGGCUGGAAGCUAUGAAUCCAAGUAGAGCAUCCACGGCCUCCACCCCUGAUCAAAAUCCUGUGGGACCUGUACAAAGCAGUAUGACUCAAGAUGUUUCCUCAGUUAAGGAUACACAAGAACCGUCAAGCGGAUCAUCUGGAAAUACAUCGAAAGAAGGAAAUGAUAGAAGCAGUGGAGCAGAAAAUGGACAAAACCAAUUGCCUUCUCUUGGUGAAGCAAGAGGUAAGAAGAAAAUCAACCUCCAAGGAAGAGUAAAGGGAAUUGGCAUAGUGCCUAAAGGUAGGGGUUCAACAGCACCUGGUUGGACUGGAGCUGGGUUUGAUGUGGAUGGUAGAAGUUGAUAGCAGGUUUUCUCAAUGUUUAAGUUCAUUGGAAUAAGAGACUUGUUGAUUUUUAAUGAGAUUUAACGGCAGAGAAACUGCUUGUAGUGGUGGCAAUGAAGGCUGUAAAGGUAUCUUAGCACCAGGAAAGACUAGAUUUUUAUUAGACGAUAGUUAGAUAGAGCCUUUAGAUGUUAGUAAUUAUUAAAGCAAUUCCUUUAUGUAAGAGGAAAAAGAAUAUCUGGAUGGAUUGUGGACUUCUUAAGCAUCAUUGGACGAACUUUUGCUCAAC